AGAGUUUGAUCCUGGCUCAGAGCGAACGCUGGCGGAAUGCUUAACACAUGCAAGUCGCACGCCCCGGCAACGGGGAGUGGCGGACGGGUGAGGAACGCGUAGGAACAUGUCCAGAGGUGGGGGACAACCCUGGGAAACCGGGGCUAAUACCGCAUACGGCCCGAGGGCCAAAGCCGCAAGGCGCCUUUGGAGUGGCCUGCGUCCGAUUAGCUUGUUGGCGGGGUAACGGCCCACCAAGGCGACGAUCGGUAGCUCUGAGAGGAUGAUCAGCCACACUGGGACUGAGACACGGCCCAGACUCCUACGGGAGGCAGCAGUGGGGAAUAUUGGGCAAUGGGCGCAAGCCUGACCCAGCAAUUCCGCGUGGGUGAAGAAGGUCUUCGGAUUGUAAAGCCCUUUCGGCGGGGACGAUGGUGACGGUACCCGCAGAAGAAGCCCCGGCUANNUUCGUGCCAGCAGCCGCGGUAAUACGAAGGGGGCUAGCGUUGCUCGGAAUCAUUGGGCGUAAAGGGCGCGUAGCGGCGCAGCUAGUCAGGCGUGAAACCCCCGGGCUCAACCCGGGGACUGCGUUUGAUACGGCUGUGCUAGAGGAUGGAAGAGGGCCGCGGAAUUCCCAGUGUAGAGGUGAAAUUCGUAGAUAUUGGGAAGAACACCGGUGGCGAAGGCGGCGGCCUGGUCCAUUACUGCGCUGAGGCGCGACAGCGUGGGGAGCAAACAGGAUUAGAUACCCUAGUAGUCC
rnacentral:rRNA from 1 species